GGUGAAACAUUGCAGAGUGACGAGGAGGCAUGCGACACUGUGCUGCAUGCUGUCCUUCCCCACAUUACACUCACCAAUUAUAACCUCCACUGUUCACCCUCCAGUCUGUGAAGAUGCCUGCAGUACAAAAGCCAUCCUGGAUUUGAAAAGCUGGAAAUGUUCUGCUCUGUGUUAGUGGAGAUUAGCCUGAUAGAGGACAAAUUAUCACUUACUGCUGAGCAGAGGAACAAGGUCCUUCGGUGUGGAGGGGCAUGACAAGCAGCCACAAUAGUUUAACCAGCUGUACAAGACCCACUGGGACAACACCCUCUACUGCCACACUGACAGGGAUGACCUCGUUGAUGCUGCUCUUAUACAAACAGUAAAGAUGGCCAAGGGCUAGGGACCCGCACAACGUCCCAUCAGCACUCGGAGCAACAGUUAAACUAAACACUUGUGGUUGUGCUCACCUCAGGGUAGUCACAACAGUCCAGAGAAACUCUCUAUUUUAAAGGCCUGUGAGCGAAUCCAGCAUCGUGUUCUGGUGGAAGAUGCGGUUCUUUCUAAAAUAAACAUCAAGACUAUGCGGGACUUCAACCGUCAGCAAGAAACUAUCCUCAAUCUGCAUGCAACAAAACAUACAUAGGAUUCAGUGUAUGAAUAAGUUCCUGAAUCCUUUAUCAUCCACAGCUAAAAAUGGUUUGAAAUCAAGUGCAAUCAUUUUGGACAGGUCUUUAUCAAUUAAGUUCUGUCUUGCUGGGGUCACAGACGUCUGCAAAAACUUUCUCAUAGAGCUCUGGGUUGGUUUAGGUGGUUGUGGUGGUAUACUGCAUGAUGCUGUAGAUACUGCAGCAGCUACAGUUGCAGUAGACACACUGGCACCUUCAUUAACAUCACUCUCAUUUGACUGUGUUUUAUCUUCCCAGUGCACUGAUGGGUGGACUGUUCUCAGGUGUCUGUGCAGGUUGUUUGAGUUCUAUGUGAUAUCCUUUUCUUGCACACUCUACACUUUGCCUUUUGUCAAUAAAAUUGAAAUGGUUUCAGA